AGCUAGGCCUAAAUACCCUAAAGGCAACUGACCAUGUCUUAUUUUAAAAGCUAAACAGGAUCAGCCUUGGUUAGUACUUGGAUGGGAGACUGCCAGCGAAUAGCAAGCACUGUAGACU
rnacentral:rRNA from 11 species